AGUUUGAUCCUGGCUCAGAAUGAACGUUGGCGGCGUGGAUUAGGCAUGCGAGUCGCGCGAGAAUGUAGCAAUACAGGACAGCGGCGAAAGGGAGAGGACAACACGGGAAUCUGCCUUGGGGACGAGGAUAGCGUCGGGAAACUGACAGUAAUACUCGAUAAUGUUUGCGGACCAAAGGUGUGAUUCCGCCCCAAGAUGAGCCCGUGCCCCAUUAGCUAGUUGGCAGGGUAAUGGCCUACCAAGGCUGUGAUGGGUAGCUGGUGUGAGAGCACGACCAGCCUCACUGGCACUGAGACACUGGCCAGACACCUACGGGUGGCUGCAGUCGAGAAUCUUCGGCAAUGGACGCAAGUCUGACCGAGCGACGCCGCGUGCGGGAUGAAGGCCUUCGGGUUGUAAACCGCUGUCGUAGGGAAUCAAAUGUAUGAGGGUACUCCCUUGUAUUUGAGAGAUCCUAGGAGGAAGGAGAGGCUAAGCUCGUGCCAGCAGCCGCGGUAAGACGAGCUCUCCAAACGUUAUUCGGUAUUACUGGGCUUAAAGAGUUCGUAGGCGGCUCUGUAGGUGAGAUGUGAAAGCCCUCGGCUUAACCGGGGAACUGCGUUUCAAACCACAGGGCUUGAGGGAGAUAGGGGUAAGCGGAACAGAUGGUGGAGCGGUGAAAUGCAUUGAUAUCAUCUGGAACACCGGUGGCGA
rnacentral:rRNA from 1 species